AUUGAACGCUGGCGGCAUGCUUUACACAUGCAAGUCGAACGGCAGCGCGGGCUUCGGCCUGGCGGCGAGUGGCGAACGGGUGAGUAAUACAUCGGAACGUGCCCAGUAGUGGGGGAUAGCUCGGCGAAAGCCGGAUUAAUACCGCAUACGACCUGAGGGUGAAAGCGGGGGAUCUUCGGACCUCGCGCUAUUGGAGCGGCCGAUGGCAGAUUAGCUAGUUGGUGGGGUAAAGGCCUACCAAGGCGACGAUCUGUAGCUGGUCUUAGAGGACGACCAGCCACACUGGGACUGAGACACGGCCCAGACUCCUACGGGAGGCAGAAGUGGGGAAUUUUGGAAAAUGGGCGAAAGCCUGAUCCAGCAAUGCCGCGUGGGUGAUGAAGGCCUUCGGGUGGUAAAGCACUUUUGGCGGGAACGAAAAGGACUGUGCAAAUACACGGUUCGAUGACGGUACCCGCAGAAUAAGCACCGGCUAACUACGUG
rnacentral:rRNA from 1 species